ensembl:ncRNA F57B9.12 ncRNA
GAGCAAAGUCUCAGAUGCAGUUGAUGCCGUUUGCCACAUCAAUUGACAAACAGCAUCAAAAUGGUAUAAAAAGGGUUAUAUGUCAAAACGGAUGUCACACAUCCCACUCUAUAUAUAUUUUUUUUAACCAGUAGAAGAACAUUUUUGCAA